rnacentral:rRNA from 1 species
GACGAACGCUGGCGGCGUGCCUAAUACAUGCAAGUAGAACGCACAGUUUAUACCGUAGCUUGCUACACCAUAGACUGUGAGUUGCGAACGGGUGAGUAACGCGUAGGUAACCUGCCUGGUAGCGGGGGAUAACUAUUGGAAACGAUAGCUAAUACCGCAUAAUAUUGAUUAUUGCAUGAUAAUUAAUUGAAAGGUGCAAUUGCACCACUACCAGAUGGACCUGCGUUGUAUUAGCUAGUAGGUGAGGUAACGGCUCACCUAGGCGACGAUACAUAGCCGACCUGAGAGGGUGAUCGGCCACACUGGGACUGAGACACGGCCCAGACUCCUACGGGAGGCAGCAGUAGGGAAUCUUCGGCAAUGGACGAAAGUCUGACCGAGCAACGCCGCGUGAGUGAAGAAGGUUUUCGGAUCGUAAAGCUCUGUUGUAAGAGAAGAACGGGUGUGAGAGUGGAAAGUUCACACUG